GUGCAAUCAAAAAGCUUUAUUUAACAAGUGUGCAAUAUGUUUGUGCAAUAUCUAUUGACAAUUGUCAUGGUGACAUUUUUUUAAAUACAUGAAUACUUGCAGUUCAAAUAACUGAAUAAGUUAAGUCUUACUAGGAAGGAAUCUGUGCAAAAAAAAUGGUUUUAUGAUAAUGGUUACAAUUUCUAUAUGUUCUUCAGGAGUUUUUGAUGGAGCCACCCCU
rnacentral:lncRNA from 1 species